rnacentral:rRNA from 1 species
ACUCCCAACCCCUGUGAACAUACCACUUGUUGCCUCGGCGGAUCAGCCCGCUCCCGGUAAAACGGGACGGCCCGCCAGAGGACCCCUAAACUCUGUUUCUAUAUGUAACUUCUGAGUAAAACCAUAAAUAAAUCAAAACUUUCAACAACGGAUCUCUUGGUUCUGGCAUCGAUGAAGAACGCAGCAAAAUGCGAUAAGUAAUGUGAAUUGCAGAAUUCAGUGAAUCAUCGAAUCUUUGAACGCACAUUGCGCCCGCCAGUAUUCUGGCGGGCAUGCCUGUUCGAGCGUCAUUUCAACCCUCAAGCACAGCUUGGUGUUGGGACUCGCGUUAAUUCGCGUUCCCCAAAUUGAUUGGCGGUCACGUCGAGCUUCCAUAGCGUAGUAGUAAAACCCUCGUUACUGGUAAUCGUCGCGGCCACGCCGUUAAACCCCAACUUCUGAAUGUUGACCUCGGAUCAGGUAGGAAUACCCGCUGAACUUAAGCAUAUCAAUAAGCGGAGGAAAAGAAAAC